rnacentral:rRNA from 1 species
GGGUGAGUAACACGUAUGCAAUCCACCUGUAACAGGGGGAUAACCCGGAGAAAUCCGGACUAAUACCCCAUAAUAUGGGCGCUCCGCAUGGAGGGCUCAUUAAAGAAAGCAAUUUUGGUUACAGACGAGCAUGCGCUCCAUUAGCCAGUUGGCGGGGUAACGGCCCACCAAAGCGACGAUGGAUAGGGGUUCUGAGAGGAAGGUCCCCCACAUUGGAACUGAGACACGGUCCAAACUCCUACGGGAGGCAGCAGUGAGGAAUAUUGGUCAAUGGUCGGCAGACUGAACCAGCCAAGUCGCGUGAGGGAAGACGGCCCUACGGGUUGUAAACCUCUUUUGUCGGAGAGUAAAGUGCGCUACGCGUAGCGUAUUGCAAGUAUCCGAAGAAAAAGCAUCGGCUAACUCCGUGCCAGCAGCCGCGGUAAUACGGAGGAUGCAAGCGUUAUCCGGAUUUAUUGGGUUUAAAGGGUGCGUAGGCGGCACGCCAAGUCAGCGGUGAAAUUUCCGGGCUCAACCCGGAAUGUGCCGUUGAAACUGGCGAGCUAGAGUACACAAGAGGCAGGCGGAAUGCGUGGUGUAGCGGUGAAAUGCAUAGAUAUCACGCGGAACCCCGAUUGCGAAGGCAGCCUGCUAGGGUGAAACAGACGCUGAGGCACGAAAGCGUGGGUAUCGAACAGGAUUAGAUACCCUGGUAGUCCACGCAGUAAACGAUGAAUACUAACUGUUUGCGAUAC